rnacentral:pre_miRNA from 1 species
UGAAUACUGCCUCCGUCCAACAAAAGAUGUCAAAUUUGUCAAAAAUUGGAUGGAUCUAGACAUGAUUUAGUAUAUAGAUAUAUUCAAAUUUAAUUAAAGUUGAGACAUCCUUUAUUGGAAGGAGGAAGUAUUAA